GAUGAACGCUAGCGACAGGCUUAACACAUGCAAGUCGAGGGGCAGCAUGAUUAGUAGCAAUACUAAUUGAUGGCGACCGGCGCACGGGUGAGUAACGCGUAUGCAACCUACCUAUCAGGGGGGGAUAGCCCAUUGAAAGAUGGAUUAAUACCGCAUAAAGCAGGGGUCCCGCAUGGGAAUAUUUGCUAAAGAUUUAUUGCUGAUAGAUGGGCAUGCGUUCCAUUAGAUAGUUGGUAGGGUAACGGCCUACCAAGUCAACGAUGGAUAGGGGUUCUGAGAGGAAGGUCCCCCACACUGGUACUGAGACACGGACCAGACUCCUACGGGAGGCAGCAGUGAGGAAUAUUGGUCAAUGGUCGAGAGACUGAACCAGCCAAGUCGCGUGAAGGAAGACGGUCCUACGGAUUGUAAACUUCUUUUAUAUAGGAGUAAAAGAUGGGAUGUAUCCUAUAUUGCAAGUACUAUAUGAAUAAGCAUCGGCUAACUCCGUGCCAGCAGCCGCCGUAAAAC
rnacentral:rRNA from 1 species